GCUCUCAUAGUUUAAUGGAUAGAAUAUAGGUUUGCGGUACCUGUGAUCCAGGUUCGAUUCCUGGUGAGAGCACCA
rnacentral:tRNA from 1 species